rnacentral:rRNA from 1 species
GGGUACACGAGCGGCGAACGGGUGAGUAACACGUGGGUGAUCUGCCUCGCACUUCGGGAUAAGCCUGGGAAACUGGGUCUAAUACCGGAUAUGACCUUUCAGUGCAUGCUGUUGGGUGGAAAGAUUUAUCGGUGCGAGAUGGGCCCGCGGCCUAUCAGCUUGUUGGCCGGGGUAACGGCCCACCAAGGCGACGACGGGUAGCCGACCUGAGAGGGUGACCGGCCACACUGGGACUGAGACACGGCCCAGACUCCUACGGGAGGCAGCAGUGGGGAAUAUUGCACAAUGGGCGGAAGCCUGAUGCAGCGACGCCGCGUGAGGGAUGACGGCCUUCGGGUUGUAAACCUCUUUCGACAGGGACGAAGCGCAAGGUGACGGGUACCUGUAGAAGAAGCACCGGCCAACUACGUGCCAGCAGCCGCGGUAAUACGUAGGGUGCGAGCGUUGUCCGGAAUUACUGGGCGUAAAGAGCUUGUAGGCGGUU